GCCCCGCCUUGGUCAGUGUCGAGGCCACAGCAGCACCAUGACAGACCUCUCCGUGCGCCUGGCGGCUCUGAUCCUUCUAGGAGUGGCCCUGUGUGCUCCAGGCCCAAUGAGACGGUGACGGUGCUCCUAGGCGCGCACUCCCUGUCGCAACCUGAACUCUCCAAGCGCCGGUAUAAUGUGUCCCGAGCAGUGCCCCACCCUGGCAGCCGGCCGGAAACCAUCGACCACGACCUCCUUCUGCUGCAGCUGUCUGAGAAACGGGCCGCCGGCCCGACCG